AACGAACGCUGGCGGCAGGCCUAACACAUGCAAGUCGAACGAGAAGCCACCUUCGGGUGGUGGACAGUGGCAGACGGGUGAGUAACGCGUGGGAACGUGCCUUUCGGUUCGGAAUAACCCAGGGAAACUUGGGCUAAUACCGGAUACGCCCUUCGGGGGAAAGAUUCAUUGCCGAAAGAUCGGCCCGCGUCGGAUUAGCUAGUUGGUGGGGUAAUGGCCCACCAAGGCGACGAUCCGUAGCUGGUCUGAGAGGAUGACCAGCCACACUGGGACUGAGACACGGCCCAGACUCCUACGGGAGGCAGCAGUGGGGAAUAUUGGACAAUGGGCGCAAGCCUGAUCCAGCCAUGCCGCGUGAGUGAAGAAGGCCCUAGGGUUGUAAAGCUCUUUUGUGCGGGAAGAUAAUGACGGUACCGCAAGAAUAAGCCCCGGCUAACUUCGUGCCAGCAGCCGCCGUAAUAC
rnacentral:rRNA from 1 species